GAUGGUAUUGGUGAUGCAGGUGG
rnacentral:miRNA from 2 species